UACGGGAGGCAGCAGUGGGGAAUAUUGCACAAUGGGCGCAAGCCUGAUGCAGCCAUGCCGCGUGUAUGAAGAAGGCCUUCGGGUUGUAAAGUACUUUCAGUCGUGAGGAAGGUGUUAAGGUUAAUAACCUUAGCAAUUGACGUUAGCGACAGAAGAAGCACCGGCUAACUCCGUGCCAGCAGCCGCGGUAAUACGGAGGGUGCGAGCGUUAAUCGGAAUUACUGGGCGUAAAGGGCACGCAGGCGGUUAAUUAAGUUGGAUGUGAAAUCCCCGGGCUUAACCUGGGAAUGGCAUUCAAGACUGGUUAGCUAGAGUCUUGUAGAGGGGGUAGAAUUCCAUGUGUAGCGGUGAAAUGCGUAGAGAUGUGGAGGAAUACCGGUGGCGAAGGCGGCCCCUGGACAAAGACUGACGCUCAUGUGCGAAGCGUGGGGAGCAAACGAGGGAUUAGAUACC
rnacentral:rRNA from 1 species